rnacentral:lncRNA from 1 species
AACAGGAUGCUGAACAGCUGAACACAGCGGACUUCAGCCAGCCUAAGUGGGUUUCUGCUCCUUGCAACAAGAGGCCUGAAUAGAAGCCCCUUCUUCAGGGGAGUGGCCAUCAGCUCAGAAAGAGGAUCCCAUGGGAACUGACUUUGCUGGUGACCAAGGCCCUACCACCAGGGCGCCCUGCCCAUGUAUCCCAAGCAGAGGAAGCAGAACCAGCGGUGUAACUACUGUGCUUGACACCCAGGGCAGGUCUUUUUUUAACUCACCAAUCUUCCAUGCAACAAAAUUGUUUUCUGUGAAAAGCAGGAAAUGAAUAACAAUAGCGUAGGUACUCCACUUCAAAUUUCCCAAGAAAUUCAGAAGAAUUGUGAACAAGUUGCUGGUUUCACAAUACUGCAAGACACUGCAAGUUAUUCCAAGUUCCUACAGGACAACAAUGCACAAUUAUUUACUUACUUAUGUUUAAAUAUACCUAUCAGUUUGACUUUGAUCCUUUGGUGACAUUCUAAUAUAAUAAUUUAUGUAAAUAAUUAUUCAGAGACCAAUGAGAGGAUUUUAAUAAGUGCAAAAUGUUAGCAAACGGUACAACAUUGAUAAAUCUAUGGUCUGUAUUUUGUUCUGCCAUUUCAAAAUAAUUAAAAAGUAAGUUUCAAUUUAAAAACAUUAUUGAAAUUCAGUAAAAUAUUUCAAGCAUGAACUAAAAUAUACACUUACUAAACACAAAUAUUACACCUCACAUUUCACACUCUGUUUCAUUGUUUUAAAUUUUAAACAGAAAUAACUCCACCGGCCACCUAGAAUGAUCAAGUCAGGCAACUCAAGUUACUUUGUUUCAUCUUCACAAUCACUGUGCUAUCAUUGUUCAUUUUGAAUCUACUUUUUAAACACAAGAAUAUUU